GAUGAAGAACGUAGCGAAAUGCGAUAAGUAGUGUGAAUUGCAGAAUUCAGUGAAUCAUCGAAUCUUUGAACGCAUAUUGCGCCCCUUGGUAUUCCAUGGGGCAUGCCUGUUCGAGCGUCAUUUGUACCUUCAAGCUUUGCUUGGUGUUGGGUGUUUGUCUCGCCUUUGCGUGUAGACUCGCCUUAAAAUAAUUGGCAGCCGGCGUAUUGAUUUCGGAGCGCAGUACAUCUCGCGCUUUGCACUCAUAACGACAGCGUCCAAAAGUACAUUUUACACUCUUGACCUCGGAUCAGGUAGGGAUACCCGCUGAACUUAAGCAUAUCAAUAAGCGGAGGA
rnacentral:misc_RNA from 1 species